CAAAAAUUCAGUUUCAUUUGCAUCGUUUCCAAGAUAAGUCGAAUUUUCUCAACAAAAUGUUGAAAUCUUGUUUGGUAAUUUUAUUGGCCAUAUUCUUCGUGGGCCUUGUGUGUUCUACACCCUUGAUGAUUGACCGUGUGUUGGAGGCUGGUUUCCAUGUUUUGGAUACGGCUGCUCAUCGUGGCCCCGGUGGUGGUUGUGGCCGUAAUCGUACCACCACCGCUGCACCGGCCACUUCGGCGCCAAGUGUUUGAGUUUACGAUACGGAAAAAAUAAUGGAUGCAUCAGCGGUAAAGAUGAACGGCAUAAUUUUAAUUUUUAAAUAAAUAUUUUCGGAAUUUCACUUUCAA